rnacentral:rRNA from 1 species
GACGAACGCUGGCGGCGUGCUUAACACAUGCAAGUCGAACGGAAAGGCCCUGCUUGCAGGGUACUCGAGUGGCGAACGGGUGAGUAACACGUGGGUGAUCUGCCCUGCACUUCGGGAUAAGCCUGGGAAACUGGGUCUAAUACCGGAUAGGCGCCAUUUUUAGUGUGGUGGUUGUAAAGUUUUUUCGGUGUAGGAUGAGCUCGCGGCCUAUCAGCUUGUUGGUGGGGUAAUGGCCUACCAAGGCGGCGACGGGUAGCCGGGCUGAGAGGGUGGACUGCCACAUUGGGACUGAGGUGAGGCACAGACUCCCAAUGGGGGCAGGAGUGGGGAAUAUUGCGCAAUGGGCGCAAGGCUGGUGCAGCGACGCCGCGUGGGGGAUGACGGCCUUCGGGUUGUAAACUCCUUUUGCGAGGGGCGAAGCUUAUUGUGACGGUACCUACAUAAGAAGCACCGGCUAACUACGUG